rnacentral:rRNA from 1 species
UACGAAGGGGGCUAGCGUUGCUCGGAAUCACUGGGCGUAAAGGGCGCGUAGGCGGCGUUUUAAGUCGGGGGUGAAAGCCUGUGGCUCAACCACAGAAUGGCCUUCGAUACUGGGACGCUUGAGUAUGGUAGAGGUUGGUGGAACUGCGAGUGUAGAGGUGAAAUUCGUAGAUAUUCGCAAGAACACCCGUGGCGAAGGCGGCCAUCUGGACCAGCACUGACGCUGAGGCACGAAAGCGUGGGGAGCAAACAGG